AACCCAUGGUGAGGGCACCUUUUCAGUAAGUCUUUGUAUCUCUCCCAUGCAUCGUAAAGUGUUUCUAGAUACAUCUGCACGAAAGAAGAGAUAUCAUUACGUAAUUU
rnacentral:snoRNA from 1 species